GUUGGUGUAGCUUAAUUGUAAGAGCGAUGGUAUCUUAUACCAGAGGUUGUAGGUUCGAUUCCUAUCGCUUAGA